CAAAGUUCUCGUUGGUGACCAGCGGAGGGACAUUACCGAGUUUACAACUCCCAAACCCAAUGUGAACGUUACCAAACUGUUGCCUCGGCGGGGUCACGCCCCGGGUGCGUAAAAGCCCCGGAACCAGGCGCCCGCCGGAGGAACCAACCAAACUCUUUCUGUAGUCCCCUCGCGGACGUAUUUCUUACAGCUCUGAGCAAAAAUUCAAAAUGAAUCAAAACUUUCAACAACGGAUCUCUUGGUUCUGGCAUCGAUGAAGAACGCAGCGAAAUGCGAUAAGUAAUGUGAAUUGCAGAAUUCAGUGAAUCAUCGAAUCUUUGAACGCACAUUGCGCCCGCCAGUAUUCUGGCGGGCAUGCCUGUCCGAGCGUCAUUUCAACCCUCGAACCCCUCCGGGGGAUCGGCGUUGGGGAUCGGGACCCCUCACCGGGUGCCGGCCCUGAAAUACAGUGGCGGUCUCGCCGCAGCCUCUCCUGCGCAGUAGUUUGCACAACUCGCACCGGGAGCGCGGCGCGUCCACGUCCGUAAAACACCCAACUUCUGAAAUGUUGACCUCGGAUCAGGUAGGAAUACCCGCUGAACUUAAGCAUAUCAAUAAGCGGAGGA
rnacentral:rRNA from 1 species